GACGAACCGAGCGAACGUUGUUCGGAAUCACUGGGCUUAAAGGGCGCGUAGGCGGGUGCUCAAGUCCGGGGUGAAAUCCCACAGCUCAACUGUGGAACUGCCUCGGAUACUGGGUGUCUCGAGGGUGGCAGGGGUAUGCGGAACUAUCGGUGGAGCGGUGAAAUGCGUUGAUAUCGAUAGGAACUCCGGUGGCGAAGGCGGCAUACUGGUCCACUUCUGACGCUGAGGCGCGAAAGCGUGGGUAGCAAACAGG
rnacentral:rRNA from 1 species